rnacentral:rRNA from 1 species
UUUAUUGGAGAGUUUGAUCCUGGCUCAGGAUGAACGCUGGCGGCGUGCCUAAUACAUGCAAGUCGAGCGAAUGGAUUAAGAGCUUGCUCUUAUGAAGUUAGCGGCGGACGGGUGAGUAACACGUGGGUAACCUGCCCAUAAGACUGGGAUAACUCCGGGAAACCGGGGCUAAUACCGGAUAAUAUUUUGAACUGCAUGGUUCGAAAUUGAAAGGCGGCUUCGGCUGUCACUUAUGGAUGGACCCGCGUCGCAUUAGCUAGUUGGUGAGGUAACGGCU